AACAGUGUAACGUAGGGGUUUGAGUGCUGGACUACGACUCUGGAGACCAGGGUUCAAUUCCCAACUCAGCCA